CCCUGUUGGCUCAACUGGUAGAGCGCGUCACUAGUGAUGUGAUCUUGAAAAUCACAACCUGACCUUGAAAGUCAGUGUGACGAGUUCACUGGUUCGAAUGUGGUGAUGGGAA